rnacentral:rRNA from 1 species
GACUCCACGAAGUUGGAUUCGCUAGUAAUCGCGCAUCAGCCAUGGCGCGGUGAAUACGUUCCCGGGCCUUGUACACACCGCCCGUCAAGCCAUGGGAGCCGGGGGCGCCUGAAGUCCGGGACCGCGAGGACCGGCCUAGGGCGAAACUGGUAACUGGGGCUAAGUCGUAACAAGGUAUC